UAUGCUGACCUGACUCCUGCAUCCAAUCCAGCCUGAAGCUAGUCUCACCUGAACAGCACUCGACAACAGGAGCAGGAGGGGCACAAGCAGGUGGCAACAUAGCCCAUGGGUGAAGGGCAAAGGAGGGCCCUCCCAAGUUCUCCUAGUCCUGGUCCCCUUCAACCUUGCCCUUCAUUUUCUCUUCAUCACCACUACAUUCCCUGAUGUGACAGGGAGGAAGGAACUCCUGUGAGGGCUGAAGCUAACUGCCAAGAGAGAGAACAACAGACUGUGAGGCUGUGAGUUCUCUCCUCAGUUCCCUUAGCCUUUGACACAAACUUGGUAUCUGCCCUCUUUGGCACACACUCCUCCUUCCACAUGAUGCACAGCCUUAGAUGUUUAGGGACCCUCAUAUAUUUGCCAUCUAAGACAGCAGUUGGCAUCUGUCGUCAAGUUGUCGCCGACUCUUCGUAGCACGCUAACAAUUAGAAGUUCAGGUUGCACCAAAUCUGACACGCUGAACGUAAACCAAAAGUAAAGCAGAUGCCAUAUCACUGGAGGUUUAAGAGAUAUUAUAAACUUCCCUGUGCUGAACAAACAAUUCCUCUAUUAUAUUUCAUUUGUUUUGUUUCCGUGUUCUCCUGUUCUAUCCCCCUUUGUCUUACUCAAUAGUUAUCACAAUUUAGCACCAAGACGUCUAAUAAAACUAUGCUUAA